AGUUUCUGAAUGUACAGGAACUGGAGUGCAGUUUCUUUUACCACUCCCACAUAUGUCAUCAGCCUGAUUUGAAUAAAUUACCCGGAUCUUUG